rnacentral:pre_miRNA from 1 species
AAAAAGACAAACUCUGGGUUUCCGUGUUCAACGUUUGACUGUCCAUCUUAUAUGAAAUUUUUUUAUAAUUAGUAUUUUCAUUGUUGUUAGAUGAUAAAACAUGAUUAAUAUUUUAUGCAUGAUUUAUAUUUUUAAUUUUUUCAUAUUUUUUUUAAAUAAGACGGAUGGUCAAACAUUGGACACGG